rnacentral:rRNA from 1 species
CUACGGGUUGCUGCAGUGGGGAAUAUUGGACAAUGGGCGCAAGCCUGAUCCAGCAAUGCCGCGUGAGUGAAGACGGCCUUAGGGUUGUAAAACUCUUUCGCUAGGGAAGAUAAUGACUGUACCUAGUAAAGAAGUCCCGGCUAACUCCGUGCCAGCAGCCGCAGGUAAUACGGAGGGGACUAGCGUUGUUCGGAAUUACUGGGCGUAAAGAGUUCGUAGGCGGACUGACAAGUUAGAGGUGAAAUCCCAGGGCUCAACCCUGGAACUGCCUUUAAAACUGUCAGUCUAGAGACCGGAAGAGGUUAGGGGAAUACCUAGGGUAGAGGUGAAAUUCGUAGAUAUUAGGUGAACACCAGUGGCGAAGGCGCCUAACUGGUCCGGUACUGACGCUGAGGAACGAAAGCGUGGGGAGCAAACAGGAUUAGAUACCCUCGUAGUC